rnacentral:tRNA from 1 species
GCCCCCGUGGCCCAAUGGCAGAGGCGGCCGGCUUAAACCCGGCUACGGUGUCGGUUCGACUCCGACCGGGGGCA